CAGAAACCCUCACACCUGGACACAGCUGGUUGCUGGCUCAGGUUGGCUACAGCCCCCGUGCUGCAGCCUCAGUUCAUCCAGCACGGCGAUCUUGGCAGACAGAGACCACCAUGGAGUUUAACUGAAGCCACUUUGUUGGCCUGCUCUUUGCAGCAAAAACAAUCACAGCUUUGUAGCUAUGCAGCACUUGGCAAAAUGAAUUCUUAGUGCUGCUCCCUCCUUCUCAUGCUUUCUAUGUCUGUGCUCCAGUAGCAAUGCUGUGUGUCUUAAAGGCAGUAAUUUGCAGGGGUCACUACUUGUUUCAGCCUCUGCCCAUUGAACUCGGGACAGAGGACAGAAGGUUCUUGCAGUUAUGUUACAGUUUUACAGCUCUAGGAUCUUCGGUCAGGUCGGCCUGGGGAUCAGUUGUGGUAGAUGUCAGAAUUGUCAAAGCAACAGCUACCCCAAAAUCCUGCACUAGGGAUUUCUAGGGAAAACACAAAUCACUGGAGCCAAGAGAAAGGUGAAAGGGUCAAAAAGUAUUCAUUCACUUUUAAUCACAACUUCAUCUAGCACAGUGUGACUGAGGAAGUUCCCAGACAAAGGCUCAAGGGAACAUCCAACAGCACUGUUCCAUGGCCUGCCAAAUAUAAAUCUGAGGCUGAAUUCAAUGCCACCCUAAAGAAUGGUAUCAUCACGUAUCAGUAGCUGUCAGUCUAUUGCCUGACUGAGAUUCUAUGUGCCUUACAUUGCUGUUGCCUCCCAGCUCUGACACCGCCAGGGCCAGCCUUCUUCAGCCCGGUUUGCCUGGCACCAUGGAGGAAGUCUGGAUUUGGACGUUUAAGCUGUAAUUACAUUAAGCAGCCACAUUCCCUAGAGGUGAAGCAAGAAAGAGCAUGCCCCAGUGGUCGUGCAUAGGCUCAGAAGCUGAGAUGUAUUCCUCCAGCCCCUGCUGCAGCCAUGGUACAUGCAGUUCAUCUCGAGUUUCUCAGCUAUAAAACAGUCAAAUACUCACUGAGCCCAGAUUUCAUAUGCCACCUAGGCAACGAGUGAAGGUUUGCAGAACAAGCAAAUUAGUUGCUAGUGCUUUCUCCUUCCCUUUUGCCCCACUCCAGCAAAUGCUAACAGCCUGAUGGUAUUUGCCAGACAUUUUGAAAUCCACAGGAGUUCAUCUGCCACUCCAUCCAUCUGCUCCCUGCUCUGGAAAGGGUGCUGGCUUAGCCACUGUACACCUUGCAGCUCAGUCCAGGCUUGUCAUGCCUGCCAAGAAAGGGUCUGGACCCUGUUCCAUGCCUUCUUGCCCCUUCCAGUGUCCACUGCGUAGCUCAGGCCCCCACCCAGUCACAUCUGGUGAAUUGGACCCUGCUAAGGUGUUAUUUAUGGAAGCCUGUCACGGAGCUUGAAACCAAGCCAGGCAGGAGCCUUCUGCUUCACCCAAAUGCAUCUUAGUGCAUUAAUAAAGAGCAAACAUUGCAAUGUGCUUUGCAUUUUUACUUACAAUCCAGCACUGCAUUGUCUGGAGAGAAAAGCAAUGUGGUAUGGCCCCACACUGCCUGGGGAGGAGAGUUCACUCUCACGCACUGCAGCCCUGUGUUAGUCAGCCCUCAGACAGCCCAGCACCACCCUGGCUGCACAGAAAAUCCUGCUGAUGUGACAGUGUGGCACCAACAUCCCAGCCUGGCAGCAGUGGGGAAACCUGGCUUGCCUGGGCUGCAUGAUCCAGUAGUGUUUGCAGUGAGUGGUGCACAGCUAUGGCACGUGUGGGCAAAUGGGAGCACUCUGCACCAAAAGAUCCAGGUGUAGGACCAGGACACAGGAUAACCCUCUGUCCCUUUAUUUCCAAGAUAAUGCACUAGUUCUUACGCACAACAUGGUCCAAUGAAACCAAAGAUCAGACAAGCAGUCUGUGCACAUCCCCCUGCUAUCUGGUCAGGAAAGUUCAGCUUUAUCUUCACUGCAAAGAUGCAGCUUUUCAGCAGCUUCUUGAGUAUUCCUCCUUAGCCCACAAGGAGCAUAUGGAAGGGAUGCAAACUCACCAAACUGACUGACAAUCAUCCCCUCAGGCCUUUCCCAGGUACCUGGUCAGCUCACCUGCUUUCAUGAGACAUCUGAGCAGCCAGCUCCUUGCAAAGAGCACAGUCUGUAUAUCACACCAACUGCUUGCCUUUGGUGAGACUGUCAGAAAGCCACACUGCCAACCACCUGCACCUCUGCAAUCUGCAGCCUUGUACAGUCCAUGGUGCUUGGCACCAGCAGUUCAUGGUUCUCCUCAGAGCCCAGAUAUCAGACCCAUGUGCACUUGUAACACAGAAAUUUUCCAGCAGGUUAGGUAGUCUGAGAGAGAUUAAACUUCUUCCUCUCCUCUUGGAGGCUUUUGCUGUUUCUCGGAGGCUUAGUAAGGUCUCUAGAAAAGAGAGCAGAAAGAUGGAGUUUCUCAGAAGGUACAAACAGUUGUCACAGCUAGAAACUAUGCGCAGCCACUCUUCCCAGAGCUAAGCAUCCCCAAACCACUACUGAUCGUGUGCAGAACACAGUUUCUAAGCAGCUGCUCCUUUCCAGAGCAAGCUCAGGUAGAGAUUAGCCCAAAGCCAGCUGAAGGAUCUCCAAAAGAAAACUGAUGUGUGGCAUCUGACACAAUCUGGAAUCCAAGUCAGGACCUACAACUGAAACAGCAGAGCUGCUGUUGCAGAAACCAUUAAAAGGAUUAAAACACUUCUCUGGAAACUGCACAAACUAUUAAAAACUGUACAAACUAUACCAAGUACAGUAUUAAAACUGCAGAGCAGACUCCUAAAUCUAAAAAACCUGCCAGCUGCUCCACUUAGCCUGUGUCUCCAGAACACUCCUGCACUUCCCAGUGACAUCAGGCUCCCCCAGUGAACUUCCCAGUGCAAUGUUUUCGUUGUCUCUUCUUGGCCAAGACAAGCCAUGCCUUUUUGGCAGGAGCAAGCUGGGCUCAGUUAGUCAUAUCUUUGUCACUUCUUGGCUAGACUACAGCUAUGUGAUACACCUGGGCAUGAAGCCCACAGUGAUUGUCAAAUGCCAACUAGAAGAGCAUGCUGCAGUGGCAGCCCUGGCUGCCACGAGUGCAUCAAACCUACCUCUGCUCUCUAGGCCACCUUCUGGCAUGAAAGCCAAGCCAAAUUCAAGCUUCAGUCCUGAUCUUUAAGGCAUUUGAUGGCAUGGACCCAGCAUGGCUAAAAGAUCAGUUAAGACACCGAGCUGGAAACCAUGAUCAUCAACAACUCCACCACUCUCCGAGAGCAGUGAACCCACCCAGCAUGAGGACCGUGUUUGUCUGUGGCAGAGACAGAUCCUGUCUGAGACCAAACUCUUCCCAGCUGGUGAAAAAGGAAGGGUGUCUAAGAUGCUGAGUAAUUCCCUUCUUUUGCAUAUCCCAUCUCUCUGCCAAGACAUGAAUCAGGGUCACUCUUGGUUUAGUUUGCUUUUGCAUUUUCUUUCUUUUCUAUUUUAUUUUAUUUUAAAUAGUAACAUUGGUCUCCUGAACCCAUGUGAAGUCCUUGUUCUCUUUCCCAGCAAUGAAGUCUCCUGUUGGCAGAACAAGGUGCACUACAGCUAAGAGGUCUUGGCACGAACCAACAAGAUCUACAUUUCAACAACAAGCACUACAGCCUCCCUCCCAAAGACACCCUUCAGGGGUCAGUCCCUGAAGCAGUUGAAUUGAGGAUGCCUUGAUGACAAAUUCCUUCUGCAGGUCCCUGGAUGGUCUAAUCCAACAAUCUGUGCACUGUGCUCCGCAGGGAAACAACUUGGGACAUGGCUACUGUAGGUAAAAGGUUUGGAGAGAGAGGGAGGCAACUGAAAAUAAGGUCCCUUCGUUGCUGCAGACCUUAUGCAUGGUUUCCACUUCCCUGUGACAUGCGGUGAUAGAGACAGACUGCCCGUGGAAAGUGCUAGUGCUGUUACACUGUGUCUGCUUCUCCUGAUGGAGACAAACCUAUGCCGGGGUGGAUUAAAAUCUGAGCUACAAACA